GUUAUUCGGUAUCUCCGUGCGAGACCAUCGCCGUCGCCAUCGUUUGGCGAAAAAAUUGUGAAAAACCCGUCGAGGAAAUUAUUGUGCGCGGUUUAGAAGUGAUUUUCGGCUUCAUUAGCUUCGCGAAUGUGUCGGACAUAGAAUGCAGAUUUCACUGCACUAAACGUCACCGUGUUUAAGGAUAAUUUAGUCCCCACGCGAAUCCGACCUUGAGUCGCAUGUGCCUACAACGAACGAACAAAAGGUAGGACUCUCUUAGUCGCAUGCCACGAUGUAGGAUUAACCUCAAUUCAAUCGCAGGCAAAAUCUCCGAAACUUCGCAGAAAGGUAGACGGUAAGAGGAAGCACGGAACCGAUCACCGGUGAAUUUUAUUCAACGGGCUGACAACCGAAUAGUAGAAGCUCACUCAAAAGCCGGAGAAGCGAGCCACAACUUCGUCUGGUGGAAAUCGUUCCUGUUUUUUUUGACACCAAUUGGGAUCCAGACUGAACCAAAGCACCCCAUCCAUUGGGGUGUUUGGGUGGUACCGAAACAGUUGGACGGUUUCGGACGGAAACCUCGUCAUCGACAACGAGUACGUCAAGGGCCUCGGAGGGACCCCAUCCAGCAUCCCGGUCGCGCUGGACGGCCAGAGGGGUCUCCAGCGGAGGAAUCAGCCUUGCGGGUCGUGUGGAGAGCGACGACGCG